rnacentral:rRNA from 1 species
ACGCUCGACACCUACAGGAGGCAGCAGUCGGGAAUAUUGCGCAAUGGAGGAAACUCUGACGCAGUGACGCCGCGUGCAGGAAGAAGGUUUUCGGAUUGUAAACUGCUUUAGACAGGGAAGAAAAAGGACAGUACCUGUAGAAUAAGCUCCGGCUAACUACGUGCCAGCAGCCGCGGUAAUCUGAGCGGGCUGGCAAGGC